GCAAACUCCAGGAGAUAUUGGAGGUCAGAGGAGCCUGGUAUGCUACAGUCCAUGGGGGCUGCAAGGAGUCGGACACUACUUACCAACUGAACAAUAUGCUAAAAUUUCCAAACUUUUGUUUCUUCAGCCCCCAAACCUUCUCUGCACUUCAGAUCUAUGUAUAUAACUACUUAUGUGACAUCCUCAUCUGGAUGUUUAAUAGCAAUGCAAAACUGAGCUUCUAAUCUUCACCAUCCUUCCUUUACCAACUGUUCCUGAGUUCCUGACACCAAAAAAACACAAAAACAACUCUGCUCCAACCACAUCCUUUCCCUGUUUAGGCCUACAAAUUGAAUGACCCCACCCCCAACGGUGGUGUUAGAUUGGAGAGGACGCCUGGACCCAGUAGCCUAGACAUCACAGAGGCUGAAUUCUGACUUGUCAGGUGUGGAAUCUGAUAUUAAUUGCUGAGGAGACCAAUAGCCUUUUUGUGGCAACAUAAUUUAAUCAAGCCACAUCUUCCCUGGAGUUGUAUUUAUGUGUUGGGAUAAACUAUGCCAUAAUAAUACUUCAAAAUUCCCUCUGCUUUAGGGUGAAGCUGCCCUGCAAAGGGCCUUUGCUCAAAACACACCUGGUUAGUUUCAGCCUCCUCCUCGACUUUGUUUUCACCACUCUUUUAUUGGUUUCAUCUGGGAGCAUUUUAUUAGAUCACUAGCACAUGACUCCUUGGGUUAGGAUUCACUUCCAGAGAAUCUAGCCUGUGAUGCUACUUUAUUUGCAUGGACAAACCGUUGCACUUCCAUGGGCUGGGUUGCCUCAUAGGAUCCCCACUGCCUUCGGUGGCAUUAAGCUUCAACAGAAGCAGAACAAGAUUCCUGGCUGAGUGUCUGGAAUUACCUCUACUGAAUGCUACAAUUCAUUUUCAUUUGGAGAUGCAAAUAUUCCUGUGAAGCGAGCAGGCGUUACUCUAUUUGUGGUGUGUGUGCUUCUCGUUGCGGUGGCUUCUCUUGUAGACCAUGGACUCGAGGAUGCACUGGCUUCAGGAGCUGCAGCCGUUGGGCUCAGUAGUUGCAGCUCCUGGGCUCUACAACACUGGCUCCAUAGUUGUGGAGCACGGGCUUAGUUGCUCUGCAGCACGUGGGACCCUCCCGUGGCAGGGAUCUAACCUGUGUCUCCUGCACUGGCAGGUGGAUUCUUCACCACUGAGCCACCAGGGAAGCCCUCUACUUGGAAAUUUUAACCAUAAGUUUUAACUAUGUUCACACACCAAAACAGUAUGUAUUUAUAAAUCUUCUGAAGGUUUCAAAACUGCUGGUCCUUGCGCCCAAGUUUUAUCAGUUAUCUUGCAAUUACUUGAAUUUUGCAUUCUGGUACUUUGCUCCAAAGCUGUUUAUUUGGACAGUAUUUCCUAAGCACUUGCAUAUUCAAAACUGUUUUGCCAUAGCCUUUAUACUUGAAAUAAUCUCAAUUGAAAAUAAAAUCAUGGGCUUUGAACAUUGUUUUCGUGGAUAAAUGUAAGAUUUUUUUUUAAGACAAUCUUUAUUAAAGUCCAAUAAUUC